UGGGGAAUUUUGGACAAUGGGCGAAAGCCUGAUCCAGCAAUGCCGCGUGUGUGAAGAAGGCCUUCGGGUUGUAAAGCACUUUUGUCCGGAAAGAAAUCCUUGGUCCUAAUAUGGCCGGGGGAUGACGGUACCGGAAGAAUAAGCACCGGCUAACUACGUGCCAGCAGCCGCGGUAAUACGUAGGGUGCAAGCGUUAAUCGGAAUUACUGGGCGUAAAGCGUGCGCAGGCGGUGAUGUAAGACCGAUGUGAAAUCCCCGGGCCCAACCUGGGAACUGCAUUGGUGACUGCAUCGCUUGAGUAUGGCAGGGGGGGGUAGAAUUCCACGUGUAGCAGUGAAAUGCGUAGAGAUGUGGAGGAAUACCGAUGGCGAAGGCAGCCACCUGAGUCAAUACUGACGCUCAUGCACGAAAGCGUGGGGAGCAAACAG
rnacentral:rRNA from 1 species